rfam:Sus scrofa chromosome 17.
UCCCUGGUGGUCUAGCAGUUAAGGAUCUGGCACUGUCACUGCUGUGGCACAGGUUCCAGCCCUGGCCCGGGAA